rnacentral:tRNA from 1 species
GCGGAAGUGGCGAAAUUGGUAGACGCACCAGAUUUAGGUUCUGGCGCCGCGAGGCGUGAGAGUUCAAGUCUCUCCUUCCGCACCA